rnacentral:rRNA from 1 species
AGUGAACGCUGGCGGUAGGCCUAACACAUGCAAGUCGAACGGCAGCACAGUAAGAGCUUGCUCUUACGGGUGGCGAGUGGCGGACGGGUGAGGAAUACAUCGGAAUCUACUUUUUCGUGGGGGAUAACGUAGGGAAACUUACGCUAAUACCGCAUACGACCUACGGGUGAAAGCAGGGGAUCUUCGGACCUUGCGCGAUUGAAUGAGCCGAUGUCGGAUUAGCUAGUUGGCGGGGUAAAGGCCCACCAAGGCGACGAUCCGUAGCUGGUCUGAGAGGAUGAUCAGCGACACUGGAGCUGAGACACGGUCCAGACUCCUACGGGAGGCAGCAGUGGGGAAUAUUGGACAAUGGGCGCAAGCCUGAUCCAGCCAUAGCGCGUGGGUGAAGAAGGCCUUCGGGUUGUAAAGCCCUUUUGUUGGGAAAGAAAAGCAGCAGGUUAAUACCCCGCUGUUCUGACGGUACCCAAAGAAUAAGCACCGGCUAACUUCGUG